CUGGCGGCGUGCUUAACACAUGCAAGUCGAACGAUGAAGCGGUGCUUGCACCGUGGAUUAGUGGCGAACGGGUGAGUAAUACGUGAGUGACCUACCUUUGACUCUGGGAUAAGCCUGGGAAACUGGGUCUAAUACCGGAUACGACCAAUCUCUGCAUGGGGUGUUGGUGGAAAGCGUUAUGGAGUGGUUUUAGAUGGGCUCACGGCCUAUCAGCUUGUUGGUGAGGUAAUGGCUUACCAAGGCGACGACGGGUAGCCGGCCUGAGAGGGUGACCGGCCACACUGGGACUGAGACACGGCCCAGACUCCUACGGGAGGCAGCAGUGGGGAAUAUUGCACAAUGGGCGCAAGCCUGAUGCAGCGACGCCGCGUGAGGGAUGACGGCCUUCGGGUUGUAAACCUCUGUUAGCAUCGAAGAAGCGAAAGUGACGGUAGGUGCAGAGAAAGCGCCGGCUAACUACGUGCCAGCAGCCGCGGUAAUACGUAGGGCGCGAGCGUUGUCCGGAAUUAUUGGGCGUAAAGAGCUUGUAGGCGGUUGGUCGCGUCUGCUGUGAAAGGCCGGGGCUUAACUCCGGUUUUGCAGUGGGUACGGGCUAACUAGAGUGCAGUAGGGGAGACUGGAAUUCCUGGUGUAGCGGUGGAAUGCACAGAUAUCAGGAGGAACACCGAUGGCGAAGCAGGUCUCUGGGCUGUAACUGACGCUGAGAAGCGAAAGCUUGGGACCAACAGGAUUAGAUACCCUGGUAGUCCAUGCCGUAAACGUUGGGCACUAGGUGUGGGGACAUUCCACGUUUUCCGCGCCGUAGCUAACGCAUUAAGUGCCCCGCCUGGGGAGUACGGCCGCAAGGCUAAAACUCAAAGGAAUUGACGGGGGCCCGCACAAGCGGCGGAGCAUGCGGAUUAAUUCGAUGCAACGCGAAGAACCUUACCAAGGCUUGACAUGCAUUAGAUCGCGUCAGAGAUGGCGUUUCCCUUCGGGGCUGGUGUACAGGUGGUGCAUGGUUGUCGUCAGCUCGUGUCGUGAGAUGUUGGGUUAAGUCCCGCAACGAGCGCAACCCUCGUUCUAUGUUGCCAGCGGUUCGGCCGGGGACUCAUAGGAGACUGCCGGGGUCAACUCGGAGGAAGGUGGGGAUGACGUCAAAUCAUCAUGCCCCUUAUGUCUUGGGCUUCACGCAUGCUACAAUGGCCGGUACAGAGGGUUGCGAUACUGUGAGGUGGAGCUAAUCCCUUAAAGCCGGUCUCAGUUCGGAUUGGGGUCUGCAACUCGACCCCAUGAAGUCGGAGUCGCUAGUAAUCGCAGAUCAGCAACGCUGCGGUGAAUACGUUCCCGGGCCUUGUACACACCGCCCGUCAAGUCACGAAAGUUGGUAACACCCGAAGCCGGUGGCCUAACCCUUGUGGGGGGAGCCGUCGAAGGUGGGAUUGGCGAUUG
rnacentral:rRNA from 1 species